UACGAAGGGUGCAAGCGUUAAUCGGAAUUACUGGGCGUAAAGCGUUCGUAGGCGGUUUCUUAAGUCUGCUGUGAAAGCCCCGGGCUCAACCUGGGAAUGGCGGUGGAUACUGAGAAGCUGGAGUUCGGUAGAGGAAGGUGGAAUUCCCGGUGUAGCGGUGAAAUGCGUAGAGAUGUGGAGGAACACCGAUGGCGAAGGCAGCCUCCUGGGCCAGCACUGACGCUCAUGCACGAAAGCGUGGGGAGCAAACAGG
rnacentral:rRNA from 1 species